GUGCCAGCAGCCGCGGUAAUACCGGCAGCCCGAGUGAUGGCCGAUCUUAUUGGGCCUAAAGCGUUCGUAGCUGGCCAGACAAGUCCGUUGGGAAAUCCGCAUGCUUAACGUGCGGGCGUCCAGCGGAAACUGUCCGGCUUGGGACCGGAAGACCCGAGGGGUACGUCUGGGGUAGGAGUGAAAUCCCGUAAUCUCGGACGGACCACCUGUGGCGAAAGCGCCUUGGAAGGACGGAUCCGACAGUGAGGGACGAAAGCUAGGGUCUCGAACCGGAUUAGAAACCCCAGUAGUCC
rnacentral:rRNA from 1 species